UACGAAGGGGGCUAGCGUUGCUCGGAAUGACUGGGCGUAAAGGGCGCGUAGGCGGCUCGUACAGUCAGAUGUGAAAUUCCUGGGCUUAACCUGGGGGCUGCAUUUGAUACGUGUGGGCUUGAGUGGGGAAGAGGGUCGUGGAAUUCCCAGUGUAGAGGUGAAAUUCGUAGAUAUUGGGAAGAACACCGGUGGCGAAGGCGGCGACCUGGUCCUUGACUGACGCUGAGGCGCGAAAGCGUGGGGAGCAAACAGG
rnacentral:rRNA from 1 species